AGUCACUGACAUUAGAUACCCCGGUAGUCCAGGGUGUAAACGCUGCAGACUUGGUGUUGGAAGUCCUUUGGGGGCAUUCAGUGCCGGAGAGAAGUUGUUAAGUCUGCUACUUGGGAGUACGUCCGCAAGGAUGAAACUUAAAGGAAUUGGCGGGGGAGCACCGCAACGGGAGGAGCGUGCGGUUUAAUUGGAUUCAACACCGUAAACUCACCAGGGAAGACUGUUACAUGAAGGCCGAGAUGAAGACUCUGCUAGAUUUUCAG
rnacentral:rRNA from 1 species